rnacentral:lncRNA from 1 species
CACGAGACAGCGCAGCCAGUGUGGCGGGGGCCCUGCGUCACCGAAGGCAAUAGAGGACACGCUUAAAAGAAACAAGUGAAUUAAACUUGACUUGGGUUCACUUUCCGCAGCGGAGGCUCCUCCCUUCCGGGCCCCCUCGUCCACCUCUGCGUCACUCGGGUGGCGUGUCUAGAGCAUCAUCACGUGCCAGGUUCUCCCCACCACCCGUCACCAGCACGCGGUUCACACGGCACCUUCGUCGGCCUGGAUUUUCUCACGCCCACCAGGCCUGUCACCAGGGCACGUCAGAGAGCGGUCCCCACCUCUCAGCAUGGGGGCCAGGCAGCGGAAAGGGCACCGUGGCGUCUGGCUGUCACCGCUGGGAGAUGGGAUUCCCAGAGGCCGUGCCCGCACACAGGCCAACCAGCAGUCCGAACAGGCAAAUCCCAUAAAGUGACCCAACCGGAACGCUUGGUGGCGGUCCCAGCAUUGCUCGCCAACACCCAGCCGGCCGGCCCUGGGCGAGCCCUGGGCGAGGGAGCUGCGCCGGCGGAAAUCACUCCGUGAGCGUCAAACGUCGGUAAAAGGCUCUGGAAAAAAGAUCAAACGAAAUACAUAAAACUUCCCGAGGAAACUGGACGGAACAGUGAGUCUGCAAAGGGAGAGCAUGUUCCUGUGGUAUUUGGCGAUGAAAAGCAAAAGCUGAGAACUACAGACUUUUCUCUUUGUGAGGGAGAUGACUGCUUAUGUCUAAAAAGGCAGCUCUCAGGGCGCCUGGCUGGCUCCGUCGGUUAAACGUCCGACGUCAGUUCAGGCGGUGACCUCUUGCUUGGUGAGUUUGAGCCCCGCGUCGGGCUCAAUGCCGUCCGUGCAGAAGCCGCUUCCGAUCCUCCGUCUCUCUCUGCCCUUCCCCCCCUCUCAAAAAUUAAUAAACCUUAAAAAAUUAUAAAAAGGGGGGCGCCGGGGUGGCUCAGUCGGUUAAGCCUCGGCUUCAGCUCAGGUCAGAUCUCACGUUCGUGGGUUCGAGCCCCGCAUCAGGCUCUGUGCUGACAGCUAGCUCAGAGCCUGGAGCCUGCUUCGGAUUCUGUCUCCUCCUCUCUCUGACCCUCCCCCUCUCAUGCUCUGUCUCUCUCUGUAUCAAAAAUAAAAUAUUUAAAAAAAAUUUUUUUUUAAUUAUACAAAGGGAAUUGUAAGAACAUGUUCUUUAGGAUUUGGAAAUUCAGGUAUCCUUGACUGGACGUAACAGAUCUUCUAAUGAAUGCACUGGUCUGCGUGAUCCUGGAUUCGAAGUUCUGUUUUAUAGACAUUGUCUCUAGAGGUUUAACUUGUCGGCUGAGUGCAUGAAUUCAGCUCUGUACGUAUGCAGACUGUGUUCGGGUCCCCCAGCACCGGUCCCUGAGACCUGCGUCCUGCAGAGGGCCGGGACCAGCCGGGCUCAGUGACUGGCCUCCACGUGGUAACGAGACUUCGCUCUAGGCCCGUAAGGAGCAGGAGAAGCCAGAGAAGGGCCGGUGCGGGGCAGGCACUCCGCACGGGGGUUAAGAGACGUCCACUUCCCGACGCAGCCAGUCCACGUGGGACCGCCUGGGAACAGGUCACAUGCCCCCUCCCCCACCUUCCCUCACAACACGAGGUGCUCGCACGCCGCACCUCACCGUGCGCUCUGAGGACCUGUGGUGCAGACGGCGGGCCGUCCGGUCCCUGGAGGUGUCGUUCCCUCCAGUGGAGCCCUGAGGGCCGGCCCCUCCGUCUGCGGGGCCUGCGGGCCACCUUCUGAGGGGGACGCGCCACGGAGGACCCCCUUGUUGGCCAUGUCUAGGUGUAUCUUCAGGCCAGACAGCGAGCAGUAUUUCGGGCUCCCCUGCCCAGCUGUUGACAAUCAGACGUCCCUCCUGAGGGACAGCCCCUGAGAACCGAAGGCGGGUCCCCUCCCAAGGCUCCAGGGUAAGCCACUCUUCCACUACGUGUGUGGCCCAGUGGCCUCGGCGGCCCAGCGCCGACGUGGCCAGGACGCUUUCCGAGCUCCUGGGGGCCUUCUACGGCAUCAGCAGAAACCUCUGGCCGUCGUUCGGAUGUGAGGUGCCUCCUUCAAGAGGGGAGUUAAAGCCUGUUUAACAUCAUCUCAUGAAACAUUUACUCCAAUUAGAGUCUGACAUCCCCUUAUUCUCUGUCAUAAAAUGUUUAAUAUUCUUCUUUCUCCUCUUGACGAAAAACAGUCUAACAAGUUGUCAGACUGGCGCGCUUCCACACUUUAAUUAAGUACAUGGGAGAAAUUUGAUUAUGGAUCUAACACAAUUAUUACUCCUGUUUCUUAUACACGAUUCCUAUUUAAUUAUCUCGAAAAGACAGAUGCCCGUGUUCAAUACACAAGUCUAUACCCAUUUCCCAAAGACCACGCUUCACACACCCAGCUCCAGACAUAACAGCAUUUGAAGGACACUUCACUGAAUACAGAAUAGUAGUUAUAUCAGAUGUGUGUCCCUGGGCCAUUGACAGAUUUUAGUAACAUAUCCUACAAGAUGUGCUCUGAGUUAUUUCUUAAUGGCUCUUUUAAAAAUAAUAUUCCUUAGGGGCGCCUGGGUGGCCAAUGGGUCGAGCAUCCAACUUCAGUUCAGGUCAUGAUCUCAGGGUUCAUGGGUUUGAGCCCCGUGUCGGGCUCUGUGCUGACAGCUCAGAGCCUGGAGCUGCUUCAGAUCCUGUGUCUUCCUCCUCCUCUGCCCCUCCCCUGCUCAUGCUCUGUCUCUCAGCAAUAAAUAAAUGCUUAAAAAAUUUUUAAUGCUGUUCUUUAAAACACAUGGAAAAUAAAGUCGGUUCUUUCUAAUUUUAUUAAAGAAGGAAAGACAGCGUGAUGUGGGGGCCCGGUCCGCCGGCACUGGCUCUGCUCACUGGGUCCCAGGGCAGAUGUUCCCCAUCCCCUUGAUGAGUUAAAUGGGGAGCUCCAAGGGCUUGCCCAGAAUAACAAGGUUCAUAAAGCAGGCAAAGCGAUAAAAACAUUUUAAAGAACAUAAUAUUGUAUCGAAAAAGUUAUGCUAAAACUGACACUGAUGGGGCGCCCGGGGGGCUCAGUCAGUUGAGCAUCAGACCCUUAAUUUCGGCUCAGGGCAUGAUCCCAGGGGUCGUGGGAUGGAGCCUGCCUGGGAGUCCCUCUCCCUCUCUCUCUGCCCCUUCCCUACUUCUGCUCUCUUCUUACAAAAUAAGUAAAUGAGCUUAAAAUAAAGGAAAAGCAGCUGGCACUGAAAUGUCCUGACAAGACGAGGGGCUGCGAGUGGAGAGGCAGUGGGCACCACAAGCAGCCACUGUAUACGUGUCACCGAGGGUCCGGCUGGUUUAAAUAAGGAGUAACUUCCAGGAGUGGGUGACAUGCACGUGCACAGGCGGCGGCUCAGUGACCCCGACCGCAGGAGGGCCCAACGAGCGGGUCAGCGGGUUCGGAAUGGAAACGGAAAGGUGGCUACAGUGGCAUGGGCGCCCCGGGGGGCCCUGCCACCUACCGGACUGAGUGACGGUUCUGCAGGGGGGGCUCUGUUUCCACCCACGUACUUCUGAGAACACGCUUUCUCAGCAUUUGCAUCUGGAGGAUGGAAAACAGACACAGGCGAGGUGCUAAAUCAUGUCACAUGUCGGCAACAAGUAAAAUCCAUCAGUGGGUUAUGAUACCGUUUUUCAAAAGCCAUCCAUCACAUUAAAAGAUGUGUCUUCCACAAACUUUGCUUUGGGUCUCGUAUUCUGUGUGGAUGUCUGCCUGCCAAAGAGUGUGCCCGCGGGCCCCGUCCCACGGCCCGGAGCUGUCCCCUCCCGAGAGGCACGGCUCACCGGUGACCGUGCCCAGAGUGGCCAUCAGCAGGAAGUGAGGGGUCAUGGCUCCCGUCACUUCCAGGCCAAGGCCGUGAGGAGGGGCGGUCUCUCCCCUGCUCUCCUGUCCAUGUCCCUGGCGGGUUCUGCUAAGAUGACGCGGCCCGUGCAGGACACAGAAGCCUCUGGACAGACAGAAGCGCGAGUCCCCGAAUCGCCAGGCAGAGCGCCGCUCGCCUGAGACAGGGCAGGGGGUACAAGACAGACUUCCGUCGUUGGGGCCGCGGGAACCGGGGGUUUGCUCAAGCCGCCAUCAUCUGCGACAACACGAUAUUUAAUCAUUAUUUAUCAUACUCAUGAUACACACUGCAAGACGGAAUCAUUUAUCAUACUCAAAAUACAUGUGUUACUUUUUUAAAUGUGUGUUAAUAACGAAUUAUAUUGGUAACUCGGUCCAGAAGAGACUUCUAGCGCUUACAGCCUUCUGGUCAUGGGAAAUGAUUUAAAACUUCAAUUUUCAUUUAUAUUCAUAAUCUUCUACGCUAUGGAGAAUUUGGCUGGAGUGACAAUAAAUAUGAAAAUGUACUGUAUUAGGCGAAAACUGUGCACGGGAAGGGAACCAGCAAAAUGGAUUCAGGAGUGAAAGGGAUGAUAUGAACUAUCCUGAGGGGAAAAACAGUUGGCUUGCCUUGGGUUCCUACCAGACUUCUCUACAGCUUCCUUAAAAUUGUUCGAUACUUGAAAACCCUAUGUACUUAGUAGAUACACAAAAUGUUAUGACAGCACAAAUUCGUAAGUGGGGAUCUGUGUCUGGAGCUGGAAGUCUUCACAAUUAUCGCUACACACACAUUUAUUGAUCACCCUAGGUAUGCAUGGAUCUGCAUCAGAGGCACUGCAAAGGCGCUCAGGCACA